ACCGGGUGGGUGUGAGACCCAGUUUCUGUCCCAAUUUCUGUCCCAGUCUGGCCCGGCUCCUUCAGGAACUACUUUAUCUGAUGUGUAUAUCAGCUGCUUAUUUCUUCUUGGCCUUUACACACAGUAAAGGUUUACUGUGCUGCAGUUCUACAUGUCUUUAUUCUUUUGACCAUUAGGGGGUCUCCAAUGUAAACCCUUGAGAAAUUAAACAUUUUCAACAAAUCUGUAAUAAAGCUGCAACUUUUGGGGUUUUGAGGGUUUUUUUUUUUUUUUUUGGAGAGUUUUUUCAGGUUUGGAGGGUUUGAGGGGUUUUUGGACUGUUUUGGCGGGUUUUUUGGGUUUUGAGUUUUUUAGCAUUUCGGAGGGUUUCAGAGGUUUUCUGAGUUUUUUUUUUUAAUUAUUUUUUUUAGGGUUUUGGAGGGCAUUGGAGUGUGAUGAUCAUGGUGACAAUGUUGAUGACGACGAUGAUGAUGAUGAUGAUGAUGAUCAUGAUGACAAUGAUGGUGACGAUGAUGAUGACUAUGACCAUGAUGAUGACAAUGUUGAUGACGUGAUUAUUAUGAUGAUGACGAUGAAGAUGAUGAUGACGGCGACGAUGAUGAUGAUAACGAUGGUGAUGAUGAUGACAAUGACGAUGAUAUGACUGCGAUGAUGGUGACGAUGAUGAUGAUGAUUACGAUGAUGGUGACGACGAUGAUGGUGAUUAUGAUUACGAUGAUGAGAACGAUGACUAUUAUGAUUACGAUGAUGGUGACGACGAUGAUGACGGCGACUAUGAUGAUGACGGCAAUGAGGGUGACAAUGAUGGCAAUGAUGACAAUGACGACGAUGAUGACGAUUAUGAGGACGAUGAUGAUGAUGAUGGUGAUGGUGAUAAUGGUGGUGAUGAUGGUGAUGAUGAUCUGAAGUCUUUAUUUUCUCCUACAGCGUGUAUGAAGCAGUGCUGCACGGAGCAGAUGACGGAAUGUCUGGACUGGAUUAUGGCUGAAUCCAUGCUGAGGGAGGUGUUGACUAAAUUAGAGAUGGUGCUGGACCAACAAACCACUGAGCUUGCUUCAACUACAGGUGUUCCAGGUGCAGUCUUUGGAUACUGAUGAAGAUUUACUGCCCUGCAAGAUCUUCCUCAACUGCAUAGUCUGGAGCAAAGGAUGCAACAGAGCCCAGAUUGCAAGCAAAAACUGGUGACACACUCGUACUCAAAGCACAACAUUCAACACCACUUUGAUAUGAGGGAACAGUUAUGACCUAAUCUUUGGUAGAGGAGCAAAACAUGGAAAGCACACAGGGCAGGGUAACUGCAGGAGUAGUGAGAAGCACUGACACAGUUGACAAGGCAAUAAAUGCUUAUUAAUUAUUUAUAUUUUAUAUUAUUUUAUAUUAUAUUAUUGUUUUAAAAAUCAUCGGUUUCGGGUAAACUGGUUGGCGCUUAUUGACAGGGCAGAUGUGCUUGACUGCACCUGGCGCAUAUUGAAGAGGGUGAUUGCUAACUCCCUGGCAAAGAACCUCAAUUGGAGGGGAGUCAAUGGAAAGACUUCACUGGCCACUCUCCAACUUGGAGAGGUCAUGAUUGAAACCUCUUCACGGCUAAAGCUGCAGAGAUGGAGGUCGAGGGGACCAUGAAGAGGUGGCUCCAGCUGGCAUCAGAUCGAGAGUGCGGGCGCAAGAGAAGACUUUUGAAAACUUUUGCAAAAAGAAGGUAUUUAGAGUGUUUUAACUGUGGUGUCUUUGUUAAUUUGUUAAAAUGUUCAUAUUAUAGUCUAUUUUUGAUUGUUUAUAAAAGUCCUUGCUGUUUUUAAGUGGUUGAAAUUGUGUGUGUGUGUGUGUUGGUAGCUGGGUGGCUAUACAGUUGCGGUCGGAAGUUUACAUACCCCUUGCAGAAUCUACGAAAUCUUAAUACUCUUAACAAAAUAAGAUUGAUCAUAAAAAUCCUAAGUUUCUUAUUUAGUACCACCAUGAAUAAGCUAUUUCACAUAACAGAUGUUUACAUAUAGUCCACAAGAUAAUAGCUGAAUUAAUCAAAAUUACCCCAUUCAAAAGUUUACACACGUUUGAUUCUUCAUACUGUGUGUCGUUACCUGAAUGAUCCACGACUCUUUUUAUGUGUUAUGAUAGUUGUUCAUGAG